UACGUAGGGGGGCAAGCGUUGUCCGGAAUUACUGGGCGUAAAGGGCGCGUAGGCGGCCUGGGAAGUCGGCUUCGUGAAAGCCCGGGGCUCAACCCCCGGAGGUGCGGCCGAGACUCCUUGCUGGAGGCCGGAAGAGGGGGGGUGGAAUUCCCGGUGUAGCGGUGAAAUGCGUAGAUAUCGGAAGGAACAUCAGUGGCGAAAGCGGCUUCCUGGACCAGCACCGACGUCAGGCACGAAAGCGUGGGGAGCAAACAGG
rnacentral:rRNA from 1 species